UGUGCCCCAAGGCACAGGGCCAGUGCAUAGGGAGCAAGAGAGAUAUGAGUGGAGGCAGAUGGACAGAGCAGUGGCCAAGAGCUCAGAGGCAGCGAUGCCUUUGCUGCAGGGUGGGGAUCAGUGAUCUUCUCUGGAAAAAAAGUGUGUACAGCAAUGGAUACUGUGGUGCUCAAAGUGGAUGACUCUUGCCAUUAGAAUCACCAGAAUGUUCACCCAACACACUUCUCUACAAGACCGCAUUUUAAUCAGGGUCAGAAGAAUGGUCACCCUGCACAAAGAACAGGUGCUUUUAGCACUUACAGGCAUGCUGCAUAAUGGAUGGGAGCAAUACCUCUUCAGCCAAAGCCGGCAAUCUUGUUUUCCUACUCAGAAGGUGGACCAGAAAUGUAUCCCAUAAGACUGACUCUUCCUCAGGCUAUUGAAUCAUAGUGUCUGCAUACUCUAGUGAACGGUGGAUUAACAAGCUAUAAGAUCAAUAAACAGAGCAAUUUCAACUGUCAUGAAGAACUGGAUAGUACUGAAAGGAUUUCUGAAGGACGAACAUCUACAUACCUCCCAGUUUUGGCUGAGAUAGAGUUUAUUUUCUUCACAGUGGCUGACUAUGCACCGAAUGAAGAUUAAAACAUAAACGACUGUUCAGUUAAAGACCAGACACAGACAUUCUGAGGUGCUGGAGGAGUCCAACCCCCUGCCACUGCUGCCCAGUGUGUGUGCUGUAUCUGUGCCCUCUGCUGCUAAGCCUGGCUGUGGCUGGUUGAUGGGGGAUGAGACCACAUGCCUCCCCCAGACCGGGAUUAUAAUGCAGGGGCAGAAGGGAAAAGACUAAGACUGACAGGACCCUGGCCUCCUUCCCAUCCCUUUAUGAAGAGAUUUCUGCCUUGGAGGAGAGAGAGGACAAGUUGUUCUUACUUGCAGGGAUGGACCUUGGCCAGGCCAAAGAACAGAUUUGGGAUGCUACUGUGUGCUCAUGCCCCAUCCUGUGCUGCCUGCACUCCAGUCCUUGAUAAUUGAGACAGACAGAGACGGGAUUUUUAGAAAUGAGUCUGACAUAUCUCACUCCCUUGGCGAUGGCCACUGCCAAGUCACAUUGACUUCUGCUGUUUCCUUCCCAGUCUGGACCUUACCCCAAGGUUAUCUGAAGGUUGGAAGGACCACACUACUCACUUCUCCUAGCCUGAAAAUUUGAUCUCUGGUUAUUUUGUUUGUGAGAUGAUUUUCUCGCUGGUUAUAGCUGUCACUUUGGCAGGAUGCUACAUUUAUUUUCACUGAAAGUUACUUGAAAAAAUAACAUAAUGGAGUUUGGGCUUAUGCAUUUAUUGCUGGCUGUCUGUUUGUGUUGUACAUUCCUUGAUGACUUCACCCCUGACUUCCAGACCUGCAAUAUUGCCUUUCUACCUCCUUCCCCUGGGCUUCUAGUCCUGGGGGGAGCCUCUGGAGCUUCUAGUUUUUGGUCUGUUUCAACUACCCUCUGGCCCUUCACCAGGCAUCUGCCCUCAGUCCCCAUCAUUUUCACUCCAACAAAAUCUCUGAACCAGAAGCAGCUCCAGAGGAGGCUGUGGGUCACCCCUCAGGAGUGGAGCAAGCUGGUGGCUGUCAGUGAGCAGAAAUCUUACCCCUCAUCAUCAGGAAGUGAGGAGAAGCUAAAUGGAAAUUCAUGUUAAACUCAAAUCCUCACUAAGGCUGUCUGUAGCACAAAAGUUUUCCCCUCUUUCAAAAGCUUUUAUUACAUAUCUUCAUUAUUGGAGAUGUUGCUAGGUCAGGGAAUCAUGAGAAUUCUUCUCUACUUGCUCAGCUCUGCAGAGCUUUCUGGGAUGCUGUGCAGCAAUAUUGUCUCACUUGCCACCCUGGGAUUUUUUACACACAAAACAGCACACUAUUUAAAAUAAAAACAUUUAAGAAAAAAGAAAUCAGAGCAUCAGUGGAAGUGACUGUAUUGCAUAUUGAUAGGACCGAAUAUUUGUGUCUUGCUCCAGUUAGACUUUCAGUUACAACAAGCACUGUUGACUAAAAGGUGCAUGUUAAGUUUAGCAAAUGCUGAAUCACAGUAGACACCUUAUAAUUAGCCUAUCUCAUUCCAGUGUACAUAAAUUGGUCACUGUCAUUUUCCCUGUAGUGACAGAUGACAUGAUACACUAGCAUCAAGACAGAAUGGUAAGAAAGUCCAACUCAAAAGAACUCAAUCUUAGUAUGUGUAAGGUGUGAGGAGGGAUUUAUAAAACUGCCACAGUCAAUUCAGUCACGGUCUUCACUGAGUUUGUGUGCACAGAGAAAAUAAUGUCACAGAGUGGAACAAUGCUUUAGCCUCUGCAGCCAAGUCUGAUGGCAGGGAAUAGCCCAGUCCCAAGGCCAGUGCUAUAUAUGAGUCACCCGGCACCUUGUAUAUGUGAACUAUGAAACUAUGCUCCAUUUUUAACAGCAAAGGAAAGGAAUGGUAGCUGAAAAUGAACAAUGAUGCAUGUACUUUAAUCUCCCUGGCACCAAAGGCCUCAGCCCAACCGUGGACUGUCAAAAAACCUGUCAGUGUACAUGCUGCCUAAGUAAGCUCAAUUAGUACUGCCACCUACAGCAAAGGAGAGAUGCCCCAUAUCUGUUUCAGGCCUCCAACACAGCUAUCAUUGCUGUGUUCGUUCAUUUGCAGAGAUAGAACUAAGGCAUGAAGCAGUUAAGUGUCAGGAACUCAUGUCAGCUGAGGCAAGUCUCAGCCCCAAAACUUGCACUGGUAAGAACAGAGUCACAGCUUAUGUUCAGACUACCUUCCUUCAGUCUGACUUAAACUGUGGCCCCCUCACCAGCCACAGAUAAUAUACAACUCUGAUGGCCCUAUGUGAAAGACAGGGAAAAGUGAUUUUCCCCCUGUAAGCUACUGUGCUCCUGCAUGCUACUGAAGUCUUUAUCACACCAUGGUACUGCAGAGGUAUUCCUUUAAAAGCAGAGAUGCCUCCAGCAGUGCUAGAAGAGCACAGAUCUCAGUAGCUGAGCAGUGCUACCGAGCUGUCCAGGAAAGCACUGUUACUUCAUAUGAAAUUGAAGGGAUUGAUAAUGUUGCUGUGGAGUUUUUACAACAGGGGUGCUCACAGACCUCUGGAAAAUGGUAGCUGUCCCUUUACCAGGGCUCACCUGGCUCUUCUUCUCCAGCUCAGCCACUGAGUCCUGCAAGGCAGCAAGGAAGGUGGCACAGGCAUUGUGGGGGUUGGAACAGGCUUUGGCAUUGUCCAAAGAGGACAAGGGAAAGCUCUUAGCACCCUUAUCUUCUUUGUACAUUUGCUCAGGGAUCUGGCUACAAAGCUGCAGAUCUGUGUAUCUGUUAACACAUCUGGAGGGAAGAAAAAAACACAUUAAAUUUCCAUUAAAAUGUCAACAAAAUAAAAAAAUAAUAAAUAAAAAAAAACAACAGCAGAAGAUCUCUCUCUGCUAAGAGCCUGAAACAAAACUAGUGUUGCUCUCUCAGUGCAACCAGUAAAGCAGUGGGCAGCAUCCUGAUGCCCUCUCCCUGUGGUUUCACCCAAGACUGCUGCUGGGAAGCUCCCUUGUGCUGCUUCUCAUUUACUUUGAGACAACUGAGAGCUGCAUGAGAUGUAGGAUGUUUUGAAAGGUUUAAAAUAGGUCACAGUUUGGCCAAAAAUCCGUUUCCAAGGUUUUGGCCAGAAGCUCCAGCUGUCACGGCAGUGGGCUGGAAAGUUGAGUGAGCAGAUGUGUCAGUUCCUGCAUCCAGGGACGGAAUAUUUUAACUGGGGAAGUGUGGGGCUGAAGGGCCAGAAACAUUCUAAGAAAGAUGGGAGAGUGUGGGAGCUGCUUUCUGGAAGCAGAGCGUUAGGCUGCUCAGCCACUCUGUCCUUCUUGUUGAUGGAGGGAAGCAUCCCAAGGAAACAGCCUGGGAGUAGCAGACACUGAAUCAUCUUGCCACUGGUCCCCUUUAAAACAUUUAUAAAUAGAGUAAGGGGUGUAUAAUCCCUGCUGGAGUACUUAGAUGUUUUGCUUUCUAUUCCCUCCUUCCCAGUACUGAGCUUACUGUUGGCGCUAAUUAUUAAGAUUUGCCCACUUCCCAGAACAGUAAAUUUGGUUUGUUUGUUGCUCCUUUCCUUUCUCACUUGAAUAGACACUUCCAGGCAAAUAUUUCAGGCUUCAACAUCCUACUUCAGCUAGGAAAAGUGACUGAAAGUGUUGUUAUGAUAGAAGAGAAAUGUACACCAAGGGCCCAAAUUUUAAACAACUGUUUCUGAUUUGCUUUUUGCUCUGAAGUCGGCUGCUGUGCUUCAGACCUAGCGAAGGUGCUACGUUCUAGAAACCUUGUCUAAUCUUUUCCAGCCAUGCUCCUUCAGACUAAUAAAAGACAGCCCGUGGGGGAAAGUCUGAGUGUUACCAAGAGGGAUACCCAGCUCCUACAUCUCCAAAAUGGCCCCACUCUGCAGCAGGGUGGCUCCGACGAAAAUGCUUGGGGGAAGGCAUGGACCCAAAACAGAGGUGCUUAUUUAUGAAAGCAGCUUCAAACAGACAGCUUGUCUUCCCCUUGUGCGAUGCCAUCGCAGUUAAAGCAACACUCUCACUGAUGUAUUUCAGUCGUGUCAUCCACUUGCCAUUAUUAUAGUGAAAAAGAAAAAGAGGACUCAC
ensembl:lncRNA